rnacentral:rRNA from 1 species
CUCAUUCGGAUUGGAGUCUGCAACCCGACUCCAUGAAGCUGGAUUCGCUAGUAAUCGCGCAUCAGCCACGGCGCGGUGAAUACGUUCCCGGGCCUUGUACACACCGCCCGUCAAGCCAUGGAAGCCGGGAGUGCCUGAAGUGCGUGAGCGCAAGCAGCGCCCUAAGGUAAAACCGGUGACUGGGGCUAAGUCGUAACAAGGUAGC